rnacentral:rRNA from 1 species
GAGUUUGAUCGUGGCUCAGAACGAACGCUGGCGGCAGGCUUAAUACAUGCAAGUCGAACGCGUCCUUCGGGACGAGUGGCAGACGGGUGAGUAACGCGUGGGAAUCUACCCAGUUCUUCGGAAUAACUGAGGGAAACUUCAGCUAAUACCGGAUACGCCCUACGGGGGAAAGAUUUAUCGGGAUUGGAUGAGCCCGCGUUGGAUUAGCUAGUUGGCGGGGUAAUGGCCCACCAAGGCGACGAUCCAUAGCUGGUCUGAGAGGAUGAUCAGCCACACUGGGACUGAGACACGGCCCAGACUCCUACGGGAGGCAGCAGUAGGGAAUAUUGGACAAUGGGCGAAAGCCUGAUCCAGCCAUGCCGCGUGAGUGAUGAAGGCCUUAGGGUUGUAAAGCUCUUUCAGUGGGGAAGGAUAAUGACGGUACCCACAGAAGAAG